UGGGGCAUGGUGUAGUAGAUAGCACGCUAGUCUUUGACACUAGCAGGUUGGGUUUGAAUCCCGAUACCCUGACCA
rnacentral:tRNA from 1 species